UCCUGGCUGGCUCAGUCGGUGGAGCAUGGGACUCUUGAUCUUGGGGUUGUGGGUUUGAGCUCCACGUUGGGUG
rnacentral:tRNA from 1 species